rnacentral:lncRNA from 1 species
GUCACGGUGCGGCCCUGGCCCUUGAGGUGCGCGUAGCGGUGCGACCAGUUGACGGGCAGCGCCAUCUCGCGACCCUUGAGCGGCACCCACUCGUCGUUGGCGGACAGCUCGGCGCUGUCGUCGUCCGCGGUGAAGAAGCCGCGCGGGCAGCACACGGUGGCGGCGCUGAUGCGCGCAAUGAGGGCGCGCAGGUAGUUGGCCUCGUUGCCGGGGAAGGCUGGGAAGGCGGACACGGGCGCGUCCAGGCGGCCGGUCAGGUAGCGGCGCAGCAGGCGGCUGGCCUUGAUCUUGGAGGGUGGGAGGUGGAGGUGGGUGGAACGGCGUGAGUUUGCGGUGCGGGGUCAUGUUAACGGGUCUGCGGCACACAGGGCGGCUAGGGCCCAAACACGCCACGCAGCCACAAGCAUACACACUACACACACAAUCGCGUCGCGGUGUGCGGUGGCGCUCGCCCACGCACCUGCUCGGGCGUGACGUAGGGCAGCUGCUGCAGCGGGCCGCCCAGCGUGUUGGACACAAAGUAGAUGUAGGCGUUGACGCCCUCGCCGUACGGCUCCAAGGGGAUGGUGCCCUCUUUAGUAGGAUGGGGGAGGUGGGGCAAGGCGACCGUCAUAACGCAGGCCCAAUGCUGGAGAGGAGCUAGGGGGCAUGGUUAUGGAGGACAGCUGUACGAUAUUGAGGCGUGCGCGAAGGCGCAACCCCUUUGCCCGGUAGGCGGUCCCUCUAGCACCGCUGUAGGCCUAAGCCGCCUCCUCCACACGCAGACCGCCGCCCUCCGCAGCGACGCUCACCUGGUGCCUCGGGCAUGUCCGGGUUGCUCUGCAGCGUGGUCUCAAACACGUAGUAGUCGGCCUGCGUGCCGAAGAACUUGCCGAAGAAGCGCACCGUAGAUACGCCCCUGCACGGCGGCAGCCGGGAGGCCAGGCCAAGGCAUCCUUCAGUCCCGUUGACGUAAAGCGCUUCCAGCGCCCUCAGCGCUUCCCAGAUUCCUAUUCGGACUUCCUGCCGUGCCCCUCUCCGCACCCCUCGUCAAUCGUCACAGCCCCCGCCUUCUCCGCACGCCCACGUACUCUCUCAUCGCCCCACAGUCUGCGUACGCGCGCCCCAAUGGCCGGGGUCCAUUGCACCCCGUGCCAUCUCGCGUCCAAUCGCUCAAGCCGUACAGACCGCCCCGCCGCACCCCCGCUCCACCCCGCCCCGGCCCGCGCCCGCCCGGCCGCCUCGCACCUCUUGGCGUCCUCCCCCAGCCUCUUGACCGCCAGCAUGGCCGCGUACAUCUCCUGCCGGCCCAGCCCCACACCCAGGCCGUCCAGCAGGUCACCGUCGCCCUCCACGUCCUCGCACUCGAACUGGAUUAAGCACGAUCGGGGGAAGGGACAGAGGGCGAGGUCACCCUCAAACCAAUGCCCGGCCCGGAUCAUGGCGCAAUGCAGGCACGCGGGUCGUGCAGUUUACAAGAACGCCUGGUUUCUAUCAUCUGUGCGGCGGCCCCCGUGUUGCGCACCCCUAACGCCAUGCAAUACUGUAGUUGCCACCACCUGUUGCACCCCAGUCUCGCAAGCCCCCCACCUCGUUGGGAGCAUCCGGAUCGAUAGGUUCCCCUGACUCGGGGUCAAGCACUGGCUCUGGGUCCCUGCAGCGAGCACGCGAUAAGGGCGUCAAGCCGGGGCGUGCACCAGGGGAACGAGCGCGGGCCACGGCCGCGGGGCCAGAUAGGCCAACCUCCUUUUCACCUUGGGUGCACGCGUCCCCCAUUCGGCAAUCACAUUCCCUGCCAGUUGCCUAAUCUCAUAGCUACUCCUCAGAGGACCCAGUCCCGAAGCUUAGGGCCUACCCGAAUAGGCUCGCCUUCGCCACGGCAGCUGCCGCAGCUGCAGCUGACUGCACAGCGACGAAGCACGGUAACACACACCAGCGUGUCAGGCAGGCUGCAGGUACGUGAGACGGCACCACACAUGACACUACUACGUACACCACCCGUGCGGCCAAACGAAUCGGUUGUCACUCACAGCUGCGGGAACAAGGGGCACACUCAGGUUCGCUGCGGGGGGUGUCGACAGCACCGAGGUCUCCAGCGCCUCGACCGCGUUCACAGGCCGAUCCUCCAGAACCUUCGCCAACGCUGCUUUAAGGCCUUCAUAGAUUGAUGCGCCUUGUGUUGUCUUCACUUGCUGCAGGAAGGCCAGAGCCUGGCCCACAUCCGCGGCCAUGGCGCCCGGCCUGGUAAGAUGACUAGUAGUCUAGGCUACUGUGAUAAGGUGGCGAAACUGCGAUUCGUGGAAUUAGGCGUAGACGAAGCAAUCGAGAGUAUUCAAGCUUUUGAUAUUCAAGGCAAGGAAAAGCUGCUGGUUUAUAUUCCUGUUGCAAAGACAGUUUAUUGCACGUAAUUGAAUAGCAGUGCAUGAACAUGCCUAUAGUGCUGGGGCUCGUCAAUCCAAGUUUGUGAGUGAGUCCAGGGAACCGAUGCCCGCAGGUGCAGACUCGAGGUUGGACAUAAACCUAGAGACCGAACUCAUGCCGAUUGGCAUCAUGCAGCUUGGGCUUAGAGAGCUGCACUCGCCGACACGCUCCUCGCGACACGUCCCUCCGCACCGAGCUUGUUGGCAAGCUGGUGCACCCCCCGGAGGGCAUCUCUCACAGCAGCGAUUCUGUCCAGAAAUGACUGUUAAGGACUGGUGAAGUUGCCGUCGUGAAUCUUGUGUGCUUGUACGUGGCAUCUGCUGUGCUUCAAGGUGCAGAUUGUCGCCCCCCGACCCGCAAACACUGUGUUACUGAUGCAACUCCUUGUUUGGCAUUCCCUCAUGAACUGCCAUGUAUUUACAGUGUUCUGCCUUCUUCUCCUCAUCGCAUUUCCAUCCAGUUCAGAGCGCACCGGCAGGUCUUGCACUGACCCCGUGCAGUCUCGUCCCCGAAACGUUGACGUGCAGCCCAGGAAUACCACCAUCAGCCUUACUUCAUUCCCUGACUUGGUGGUCCCUGCUUGCAAAACUCUCGGCCACAGUGCUACCCCUCCCACGCAGUGCACUUCUCACGGUCUCACCAAGUAAAGACCCUGACCAACCAUUUAGACCAUGCAUCAUCAGCAUAACCCCACGCGUCCAUACACCGGCACAGGCCGCGCGAUCCCCUCUGCUUCUGCGACCAUGUGCGCCCCACGUUCCCCACAGCCACCACCGCCUACUCGUCCGCCUCGGCCUCCUCCUCCGGCGGCGGCGGUGCGGGCUUGAGCUCCAGCUCCUGCGUCUCCACCUCGCCCCACGCAAACUCCUGUGCCACAGGGGGCGGCGGCAGCGGCACGAACGGCGCGUUCUUGACGCCCCAGCCCACGUACACGCAUGUCCACUCGCUGCCGCGGCCGCCGCAAACCGCGCCCGGCCACACCAGGCUGCGCAGCCCGCCCGCCUGCGUCUUGACCGCCUCGCUGGCGCUGCUGUAGAUGGGUGUCCAGGCGGCCUGCUCGCCGGGCAGCUGCGCGUCCUCCUCCAGGGCCGCCAGCAGGUCGGGCCCCUCCUCCAGCUCGUCCUCGUUGUAGAACUCGUCCUCGUCCGCGUCCUCGGGCAGCUCGCGCUUGUGCACCUCGCAGCGGCCCUGGCUCUUCAGGUGCGGCCGGCUGCGACCGAGACAAGACAAGAGAGGGCACGAGUAUAGCCAUCAGCCGUUUUUAGUGUGGAUCACGGCAGAUACAAGAGUGCAUCGCAGCGGAUCGCCCCACCCUUCGGCUUUCAAGGACACCUCACAUGCUUCAUGCGGCACUGUAACUGUAACUACAGCCGAGGCGUGCAUGUUCCAGCACGCAUGCCGCCCCUCCCGUGCUCUCUCCCUCCGUUCAGACUCACACGUGCACCCAGGCGGUGGGCGCGGCCAUCUCGCGGCCUGCGGGCGGCUCCCAGUCCUCCGCCCGCUCCAGCUCGCCGGUCUCGUCGUUGAGCGAGAACAGGUCGGAGGGCGCCACCACGGUGGCGGCGCUGAUGCGCGCAAUGAGGGCGCGCAGGUAGUUGGCCUCGUUGCCGGGGAAGGCGGGGUAGGUGGACACAUGGCUGGUGAGGCGGCCGGUGAGCAGCUUUUUGAUUCGGCGGCUGGCUUUGACCUGGGAGGUGAAGACGCGAGGUAGCAAGAUAUUAAUGUGCGUGAGAGCGAGAGAGCUUGAGGCGCAAUGGACAUAGGCGCGAGGACGUGCCGCUAUUUCAAGUCUGUUGCGGUAGUAAGGCACGGCCGCUCAUGGCCGCCCAACGCACCUGC